AUGAGAGGACAGGUCGACUACAGCAAAAUUAUGAACGGCAAUCUGUCUGCUGAAAUAGAAAGGUUCAGUGCCAUGUUUCAAGAGAAGAAGCAGGAAGUACAGACUGCCAUCUUAAGAGUUGAUCAGCUUAGUCAGCAGCUAGAAGAUCUGAAGAAAGGAAAGCUGAACGGAUUCCAGUCUUACAAUGGCAAGUUGACAGGACCAGCUGCAGUGGAGCUAAAACGGCUGUACCAAGAACUGCAGGUAAUGUGCCUGAUCUGCAGAGUGGUCAUAUACAGAUGUUCCUCCCUUCUGGCUUUCUCCUUGGUCCUAAUAGGAUGAAUAUUCAGACUCUGGAAACAAAUGAACAGAUUCUAAUUUAAUAGUGGCUCUGACCU
rnacentral:lncRNA from 1 species